UCGCUACUACCGAUUGGACGUUUUGGUGAGGUUCAGGGACUGUCGCGAGCUCGGAUUCGUCCAGGCCAGCAUGCAGGAACUGAAACAAACCUGAGCGUCUAGAGGAAGUAA
rnacentral:rRNA from 1 species